GACGGAGGAUGCAAGUGUUAUCCGGAAUCACUGGGCGUAAAGCGUCUGUAGGUGGUUUAAAAGUCUACUGUUAAAAAUUGAAGCUUAACUUCAAAGAUGCCGUAGAACUUUUAAACUCGAGGAUGGUAGGGUAGAGGAAUUUCCAGUGGAGCGGUGAAAUGCGUAGAUCUUGGAAAGACCACCAAUGGCGAAGGCACUCUACUGGGCCAUUACUGACAUAAGAGACGAAAAGCUAGGGGAGCAAAUGGG
rnacentral:rRNA from 1 species